UACGAGGGGGGCGAGCGUUGUUCGGAAUUAUUGGGCGUAAAGGGCUCGUAGGCGGUUUGUCGCGUCGGGAGUGAAAACACGGGGCUUAACCCCGUGCCUGCUUCCGAUACGGGCAGACUAGAGGUAUGCAGGGGAGAACGGAAUUCCUGGUGUAGCGGUGAAAUGCGCAGAUAUCAGGAGGAACACCGGUGGCGAAGGCGGUUCUCUGGGCAUUACCUGACGCUGAGGAGCGAAAGUGUGGGGAGCGAACAGG
rnacentral:rRNA from 1 species